rnacentral:rRNA from 1 species
AUUGAACGCUGGCGGCAUGCUUUACACAUGCAAGUCGAACGGUAACAGGCCGCAAGGUGCUGACGAGUGGCGAACGGGUGAGUAAUGCAUCGGAACGUGCCCAGUCGUGGGGGAUAACGCAGCGAAAGCUGUGCUAAUACCGCAUACGAUCUGUGGAUGAAAGCGGGGGACCUUCGGGCCUCGCGCGAUUGGAGCGGCCGAUGUCAGAUUAGGUAGUUGGUGGGGUAAAGGCUCACCAAGCCGACGAUCUGUAGCUGGUCUGAGAGGACGACCGGCCACACUGGGACUGAGACACGGCCCAGACUCCUACGGGAGGCAGCAGUGGGGAAUUUUGGACAAUGGGCGCAAGCCUGAUCCAGCAAUGCCGCGUGCAGGAAGAAGGCCUUCGGGUUGUAAACUGCUUUUGUACGGAGCGAAAAGGCUCCCUCUAAUACAGGGGGCUCAUGACGGUACCGUAAGAAUAAGCACCGGCUAACUACGUGCCAGCCGCCGCCGUAAGAC